UCUUCGUCUUCCUCAUUCGUAACCAACCUCCCCCAGUAAAUCUUAUUCUUUGAGCGCCGAGAAGAGCUCUGUAACGUCUCAACAAAUCAUAAAUCAUUCUUUUACUCCAGAGUUUCAGUGAUUACUCCACUCCGCCCACUUGAAGCAAUCAAGCUACCGCUUCGUCUUCCACCGUAACCGGCUGAAGCCUCUACUAUAAAUGCCGGACCUUUCUGUGAUGUUUAGUUCAACUCAAACGAUAUCAAGAAUCAUACUUUUUACCAGCAAACGAUUUCAAUGGCGUCUUCCUACACUCUCCUUGCCGACCUGAAAGCCGUCUGAUGCUCUAACACUGCAGCGGUUCGUCUGCUAAGGUUUUGGGAGGCCAGAAAUAUCUAAAGUUGUGUUUUGAUUUCGUUUUGUUUUCUAGGCUAAUUUGGCUACGACUAAUUUGUGUUAAUAUUUUGUCCACAAAAAUCUUAAUCUAAUCUGAAAGAAUUUGUGACGACGCUCUGUCAAACCACCGCGGUACCGCUUCACCUCCACUUUGGAGUGUCGGGAUAACUUUCUGUAAUUAUGACAUUCAGUGGAGGAAACCCACUAUGUCCUCUUCAACGUAUCUUCAGUUUUUCACAGGGAGCCUUCUCCAAAUCCCUCCAUUCCAGUGAUCUCAUAGAUCCCAAAAGAUGCUCACAGUCAGGUUAUCCAAGCGUCUACCAACAUUAACCAGUUCAAUACUUUCAAACACAUUCUGAAGAAAGGAUCUCUUUAUGAGAUGAGAGUUUUUGAUGUCACCAGAAGCUACCAAAACUUCAGAUUUGUUGACAGCCCUGUUGCUAUUCGAUUCAUGAUGAUACAAAAUUUGACGAGAUAGCAGAAACCAUGGACCCUCUCCCCCGUUUUUCAGGUUUAGUGAUUAUGAACGACUCAUGUAAUUGGCUAAUAUGAACACGGAUUUGCCAGAUAUUGUUGGUGAAGUGAGGGAUAUUAAAACCACUUACAGUGAAGAAACCAGUGCAUGAAGUCACAGGGAUACCACUAUUUGUCUUAGUGUUUUUGACGGGCUUUCCAGGUUUCUCCAUCAUAAAUUAGUAACGUCUGGUGUCGAGCCUUUAGUUUUUUAAAGCUUGAAUGUACGCAAGAAACUCAUAUAGAGCAAGUUUUCUGGUCUCACUUUGAGCAUCUCUCCUUAGUGCAAUCUCUUUCAUAUAUUAAACCCACUCCAUUUGUUUCUUUUCCACGCCAUUUUUUUCUGGGUACAUCCAGUCAGAUGAGUUACCUUAAAGGGUUAGGAAAUAGCGCCUAAAACCCCUCUCGCACAUUCCUUACCCUAAGAUCUGUAGCAGUGAAUAAGGUUGUUCAUCUACUUCUACAAAAUAUGGAGAUGUCAAAGAAGACUGAAUCUAUAAGAGUGUCGGAGCUUAAUGACUAUGUACUGAAUUCACCGCAUCAGUGUUUGUUGCUUUUAACGUGAGAUGACAAACCAAUAUUUGUGCUUCACUGGUCAUGCACGUUGGCGUUGAAGACCCACAUGUAAGGUCCCUCCCACAAGGCCUCCAAGAUUGUAGGCAGGAUGUUCACUUUCCGCUUUAGAACAUCACUCUUCCCCUCUCUCACGCAUUCUCAGUCGCACCAGCGCCUAGCAAUAGCUAAUUUUGCGGUCCAGUGACAACCCGGCGACGAUAUGGUGGGAGCUGCAUCCAUAACAACAAAUCCGUCACUUGGUGUCGUGUGACCAGUAGUAGAAGGUUCAAUAGUCAUGGUAUGGUUGAAGAAAACAGAGGCGAGGCAGCUCUACUACGUGCUCCACAUGUUGUUCUUGAAAUGACUUCGGAGGAGCCAACAGUUAUGGAGGAUGGACACUCUGUGAAGAAGGCACGCAUUGAGUAAAAUCUCAAGGGAGUCUAUGACCCUCAUGUCAACCACAGCUACGCUGGAGUUUUUCUCGGAUGUAGCAUAAUAAUGAAAUAGGACCACAACUCAUUCCCACCCGUUAUGCUACGGUCUUUGUUUCUUUCAAAUUUUCGUAUGUCUCAAGCAAGCUCUCUUCUUACAAGUAUAUAAAUAACAACUUCUACAUUCCGACCGAACUCAGUGGAGAGGCUCUGACUUGAAGGUUCAAUUUAAUCGCUUACUUUAA